rnacentral:rRNA from 1 species
CCUACGGGAGGCAGCAGUGGGGAAUUUUGGACAAUGGGCGCAAGCCUGAUCCAGCCAUGCCGCGUGCGGGAAGAAGGCCUUCGGGUUGUAAACCGCUUUUGUCAGGGAAGAAAAGGUUCUGGUUAAUACCUGGGACUCAUGACGGUACCUGAAGAAUAAGCACCGGCUAACUACGUGCCAGCAGCCGCGGUAAUACGUAGGGUGCAAGCGUUAAUCGGAAUUACUGGGCGUAAAGCGUGCGCAGGCGGUUAUGCAAGACAGAGGUGAAAUCCCCGGGCUCAACCUGGGAACUGCCUUUGUGACUGCAUAGCUAGAGUGCGGCAGAGGGGGAUGGAAUUCCGCGUGUAGCAGUGAAAUGCGUAGAUAUGCGGAGGAACACCGAUGGCGAAGGCAAUCCCCUGGGCCUGCACUGACGCUCAUGCACGAAAGCGUGGGGAGCAAACAGGAUUAGAUACCCUGGUAGUCCACGCCCUAAACGAUGUCAACUGGUUGUUGGGAGGGUUUCUUCUCAGUAACGUAGCUAACGCGUGAAGUUGACCGCCUGGGGAGUACGGCCGCGAAGGUUGAAACUCAAAGGAAUUGACGGCUGAGACGNGACGAGACGACGACGAGGGAGGAGG